CUUCUUUACUGCGGCAAAAUUUUCUCAAAAGUUCGACACUAGCAUUUUUACCCAACUCUCUUACAUGAAUGUUUUUGGCAGUUCCAUCAGGAAUUAAAAAUUCGGUUCUUGUCGUUGUAAGGAUCUGCAACUGUCCCCGUGAAUUCUUUCUGAGCGUAACCGCUAACUCAGUUAACUGAGAUCUCACGUUGCUUUCAAGCAACUGCUCAAUGUUGUCCAUGACAAAGACAACUUUCUUCUCAAUAUUUUUUAACCAAAACAUCAACGAUGAUUCGGGAUCGUCUCCAGGAGUCACGCCAACGUCAUGACAGAGACGUUGAAUAACUUCAGGCACAGUGGAAGCAUUUGACAGGAAUGAGAAAAUGACUACAAUAUCAUGACUAUCGCUUAACUGAUAGGAAACUUCAACUGCAACAGUGCUUUUGCCAAACCCUGGUCCACCAACAAUCGAGACAAUUCCACAGCCUUCAUCCACCAAGGAACACACGAUUUUCGUCACAUCGGCGUCACGCCCAAAAAUUGGUGGUGGUCUGUUGGGUAAACAGCUUUUUUGUUGGAACCGAUCAUUUUGUACUAACUUGAUAUCCUUUAUGCAUUUCUUGACUUCGUUACAGCUAAAAAC
rnacentral:lncRNA from 1 species